rnacentral:rRNA from 1 species
UACAGAGGGGGCAAGCGUUAUUCGGAAUUAUUGGGCGUAAAGGGCGCGUAGGCGGCUUUGCAAGUGACGGGUGAAAUCCCUCGGCUUAACCGAGGAACUGCCUGUCAGACUGCAUGGCUUGAGACCGGGAGAGGUGAGUGGAAUUCCCAGUGUAGCGGUGAAAUGCGUAGAUAUUGGGAGGAACACCAGUGGCGAAGGCGGCUCACUGGACCGGUACUGACGCUGAGGCGCGAAAGCGUGGGCAGCAAACAGG